UUUCAUGACGAAUACCUUGACAAGCAUAUACCUGAAUGUUUAUGUCGAAUACACACUUGACUGAUC
rnacentral:snoRNA from 2 species